rnacentral:rRNA from 1 species
CAGUCGCCGCGGGAAUACGAAGGUGCAAGCGUUAAUCGGAAUUACUGGGCGUAGAGCGUGCGUAGGCGGUGAGUUAAGUCUGCUGUGAAAUCCCCGGGCUCAACCUGGGAAUGGCAGUGGAUACUGGCUCGCUAGAGUGUGUCAGAGGAUGGUGGAAUUCCCGGUGUAGCGGUGAAAUGCGUAGAGAUCGGGAGGAACAUCAGUGGCGAAGGCGGCCAUCUGGGACAACACUGACGCUGAGGCACGAAAGCGUGGGGAGCAAACAGGAUUAGAUACCCGCGUAGUCCCUGUCUCUUAUACC